GAGUUAGGAGGAGGCUAGACCUGGUAGCCCAGGCCUGUAGUCCUGGCCACCUGCGAGUCUGGGGCGGGAGAAUCACAAGUUCAAGGCCUGCCUGAGCUACUUAGUGAGUUCAGUGGCAGUCUGGCAACUUAGUUGUCUCAGGGGAACACAAAAGUCAAAAGGGUUAUAGCUCAGUGGCACGGCACUCACUUGGCAUGUUCAAAGCCCCAGGUUCAAUCCCCAGCACAGGAAGCAAAGGAAGGAGGGAGGGAGGGAGGGAGGGAGGGAGGCCAGGUAGGUUUCUCUGAGCUGGAAAUAGUGGCACACACACUGGCACUUGGGAGGCUGAGGCAGGAGAGCAGCCAGUAUGAUCCCAGCCCCGGGUGCUAGGGACAGAUGAACUGACACCAGGUAGUAAUGACGGACCCACAGAGAGUGCCAGGGCCUGAGAGCGCAUGGAUGUCACUUUGUUCUUCAAAACCAACUUCCCACCGAACACCUAGUCAAUGAAGUGGAUGAGGGGUGACCCCCCUCUCACAAUCAGCCAGGUCCUUUCUCAGGUACUCAACCUGGGACAGUCAACUGACCCUGUGUCCCAACGCCAGCAGGUGCCCGUUCACAUCCCUAGAAGGGGCAGAUCUGACCUCUGAAGUUCCAGUCCCUGGGGCUGCCCACCUGUGCCCCCUCCAUCCCGCUGACAAGUUGGAGAGGAGCGGCAGGGCGGGCAUCCAUAACCUCCAGCCCUCACAGGGGAAGGACCUGGGUGUCCUGCUCCUUGAAUCUCUCUUCUCCAUGGCCUCCCCUCCGGUCUCAGCGGACAUGUCACCCUGCCUCACCAUCCGAAGUGAAAGAGCUCACCUGCUGAUGAGCUCAUGCAUGUUGUUUGCCUAAUAAAAAUGCACAUGAGGGGCUGGAGAGAUGAGAUGGCUCAGAGGUUAAGAGCACUGGCUGCUCUUCCAGAGGUCUCGAGUUCAAGUCUCAUCGACCACAUGGUGGCUCACAGCCAUCUGUAAUGAGAUCUGGUGCUCUCUUCUAGCGUGCAGGCGGAACACUGCAUACAUAAUAAACAAAUAAAAUCUUUUUUAAAAUGCUUAUAGGAUAGAAUUGGAGGUUGCACGCCUCUAAUUCUAGCACUUGGGAGGCAGAGGUGGGUAGAUCUCUAUGAAUUUGAGGCCAACCUAAUCUACAGUGAGUCCCAGGCCAGCCAGGGCUACCCGGUAAGACCCUGUCUCAAAGAACAAAACAAAACAAAACUGUGCAUAGUUGGACAUGGCGGUGCACACGUGUAAGCCCGGCACUGGAGAAGCUGAGGUGAGAAGGUGGAGCUGGCCUUGGGAGGCCAGCUGCGGGUACACACUGAGACUGUCUCACAAAACCAGGGAGGCAUGGUGCUCCACGCUAAAGCGCUUGCUAGGGAACCGUCAGGUUCUAGGUUCCAUCACUGGCAUUGCUUGGGGCAUGGGCUCACACGCGUGCGCGUGCGUGCACACUGCCCCCCACACACACACACAUGCCCUCACCCUCUCUCUCUCCCUCCCUCCCUCAUCUCUUGUGAGUUUCAUGAGUCUAUUUUUUUAAUGACAGUUAUCUGAGCCUGAGAAAUGGUUCCACAGUGAAGAGCACUCGCUGCUCGUCCAGAGGACCCGAGUUCAUUUCACAGCACCUUGAUCGAGUGGUUUAAGAGCUUCUGUAACUCCAGCUCCAGGGGAUGGGGUACCUCUGGCCUCCAUGGGCACAUGUACUCACACGGGGCCUAGCACUGGCCUCGAGAGGUCUGACUCCUCACGUUCUCCGGCAGGUGGACAGCCAGGAUCAGGCUGCCCCCAAUGCCAUGCUACUGUUCCACUGUGGGGACUGCAUGGGUGGGCAGGAGGGAAACUGAGGGCAGAGGUGCCCGGUAAGGGCUUGGCAAGGGCUUGGUAAGGGCUUGGCAAGGGUGCACAACUUGGCUUCUUGCCUGUCACACUAGAAGGAGAGGUAUUCAGGAGCUGGCAUGACUCCUUGGCAAACUGAUUCCUUAUCCCCAGACCUGAGAAUGAGAGGAAUCAGACCUCAAGAGGCCAACACUAGGUCCUUUGUAGCUUCAAGGAGCCCAGGUACCCCAUGGAGCCAUCUUGCAAGCCAUGGUUGCCCAUCCAGCAAUAGAAUCCGCACAGCUUCUGAUGUGAUGGAGACCCUCUUAUGUCAAAAAAUGGCAGCAGUGAAUGUGAGGUCCAGCUCUGGCCACUCCCAGGGAUGGUUAAAGAUUUGUGCAAGAAGAGCCAGGUGGCAGUGGCUCACGCCUUUAAUCCCAGCACUAGGGAGGCAGAGCCAGGCGGAUCUCUGUGAGUUCGAGGCCAGCCUGGUCUACAGAGCGAGAUCCAGGACAGGUACCAAAACUACACAGAGAAAUCCUGUCUUCAAAAACAAAAACAAACAAACAAAAAAAAAUUGCAAGAAAGACCCUUUGCUCCACCGUUUGUCUCCCAGCGGGUUUUGUGACAAUGAAGCUUGCCAUUUGGACGGCAACCAAGCAGAACGAUGGUGGGGUUCUUCCUGGCAAAGUGGCUGACAACCAGCCCCGAGACAGCUUACCUCCAGACUCACUUCAUCUGAGAACACAAGUUAUUUCAGGUCCAGGCUACUAGCAGUCAGGUCUGUUCCGUGUACAGACAGCCAACAGCUUCCUUCGGAGCCUGUCAGCUCCCUGAGCUUCCUCCUCCCUCCCCUCUGUUCUCAAAGGAGGGUCAUCUCCCCCACCUCCACCAGCCCGGGAGUCUGAGUGACUCCCGGAAUGUGAGCUGGGAGAGGAGGGUAGGAAGCCUCGGCCCUACAGUCCGGAUACCAUGGUAGGCUGGCUUCUACUGCAGAAGUCUCUGUGUUUGGCCUCUCCGAGCAAGCGCGGCCUUUCCCAUGCCUGAGGGAGGACCUGUCUUACCUACAAUGGCUGCUACUUGGGUCUCAUCAUGAUCUCCACAGAGCCUGACCCCUUGACAUCUGAGGGCACAGGCUGUGGAUGCUCAUCUCCAAACCCUGCUGGCACUAACCUCAGGCACGUGCCUCCACCUUUCUGGGCCUUGAUUUCCUAGGCAGACAAAAAGGAAACACUGCAAUUUACUGCAGAGGAUUGUCAGGGAGCUAAAAGGCCACAGUGGGGGGCCAGAGAGAUGGCUCAGCAGCUUAAACACUUGUUCUGCAUGCAUGAGGACUGGAGCUGGGGUCCCCCCCAGAAACCCAGAGAAAUGCUGGCUGGGAAUGACAGCCGCAGUAAUCCCAUCCCCCAGAAGGUGAGACAGAGGAUCUGGGUUUAACUGAGAGACCCUGCCUCAAUGAAUAAGGUGGACAAGCAAUCAAGGAUGACAUCAACCCACAGACAGACAGACAGACAGACAGACAGACACACACACACAUACACACAGGGCAGGGGUGGAAAAGGAAAACAAAAGGCCCAGCAGCUGGGGCAGGCAGAAGUCUCCCGUUGCCCACACUGUGGAGUCCCUCUCCUUGAUGUGUGGACUGGCUGUGGGGCAGUGGCUCCCGGGACUGGGCUAUAACACAGGAAGUAGUAGACUUCUUGUGACUCCAGAGAUCCAUAUCUCGCUGUCACAGCCCUUGGAGGAGCCAGCCUUCCCCCAGCCUGGAGGAGGUCAGUUGCCUUACUGCAGAGGCAGCUAGCUGGGACCACAGGAGUCGGCUGGGGGUCACUUUGGUCCUCACCAGCAAGACAAUGAGCCUCAAUUCUGCAAGCAGCCUGGUCAAGGCCCAUACCUCAGGGUGAAGUCCUAGCCCCAAGACACAGAGUUGGGGUGGGAUAAAGUCAUGUGUUCAGGAAACUGUGGCCAUUUAUUCCAUAGCAGCUGAAAACUAAUGCUCCGUUCUUCUAAGACAGUGUGAUCUGAGGCGCUAGCUUAGACGGCAAAUCCGUUACUAUAGACGCGGCAGAUAUGGGUCCGUCUAACAAGGAUGCCAACCGCUCAGCUGGAGUGAGUGUCCAACCUGUGCCAUGAUUACCCUCCCUGGCGUUGUUGAAUAUCUGGGUGUGGCCAACGGUUAAACAGGUCUCUUUUCCCUAAUGCUGACUUAUCGCUGCCACCAUGCCCCCAGCCUCCCCUCCACCCCCCACUGCCAUCUCCCGUCCCUCAGAAGUGCUCAGCGUGAACUCACACCUGUCCACAAGGCCCAGGACACAGCUCCAGAGCUGGGCUGUCUCUUUUCACAGGAUGCCUUAUGUUAGCUUGAACAGACAGCAGUAAUCAACCUCUGGGGCAGAAGCCUAGCCACUCACCAGCCCCUUACCAGCUGGUGGGGGAAGGCAAGCUGUGUGAGAUCCCAAGUAGACAUCCAGCCUGCCUGGUCUCAGGAGUCCUUGCAUGCCUCUCCAAUAUGACCCUGCCCAAGCACAAAGGCUUCCUGUAAUAUGAAAAUGCAAGCCGUUCUUUCCAACCAUAGAGCUGAUGCAGCAACCAGCAUAGGGCAGGGAAGCCAGCCCGAUAGGGCCUCUGGAGGAAGAAGGGGUCACGGGACAGGUAAGCUUUGAAUAGGUCUCCAGAAUGGCCAACACUCCUGGUCAAGAGCGGUCCCAGACUGACAGGAAGAGCGCCAGGCUCGGACAGUGUUUAUAGUCACAUUUUAUACUAUGUCUGCUGGAAUCUAGUUCCACGAACCAUCUCUGCUCCAGGAAUCACGACAUCAAGCAAUCUCCAGGGCUCCACACAUCCCUGUAGAUGUGUGGACCUCUGUUACUGUGUGAUGUCAGCUAACUGAUGACACUAGCCACUGUUCUCAGAUUGGCCCAUCAAGUCCUUGUAAUCGACAGGGAUCACUAUGCCCUUUUACAGAGGAGGAAACUGAGGCCAGACAGGAGAAUCAGCUCCUCAGAGAUCCCAGGAACAGAGCUGGAUGUGCCUCUGUGGUAAUAUGCUUGUGUAAUAUCUGUUUGAUCCUCAAUCACAGGAAAAGCUGGGAUUUGAACCCAGGGAGCUACGAGCCAAGCUCUACAUAGACCAGGCUGGCCUGGAACUAGCCGAGAUAUCUGCCUCUGCCUCCUGGGUGCUGGGAUUAAAGCCAAGCUCAUACUCUCUGUUGUUGGGCUUUGUCUGUUGGAGGCAAGGUCUCUCUGUGCAACCAACUGUUCUGGAACCAGCUCUGUAGACUAGGCUGGUCUUAAACUCACAGAGAUACUACUGCCUCUGUCUUCGAGUGCUAGGACCAAAGGCAUGAAUCACCAGGCCUGGCCAAGUUCAUAUUCUUAACCAGUGCCCAGGUCAGGCACAGCAUGUGUCUAGAACAGCCCCUAGGACAAGGCAGAGUUUCUGGGGCUGGAUCAAGGGAGCCAGAGAAUUCAUCGGCCACCCCGAAACACUGCCCCCAGCUGCCCAUCUGGAGGAAGUUGUCAGAAAGGGUCACUGAGAUGCUCAGGGUAGGGUACCCCAAAAUCUUCACUGGUGGGGGUUCCAGUUAGUGCUGACCAGGCUGCAGAAGGGACUCUUUAACUGGUAAGCAUGGAAUAAAGGGUAUGAUGGCAAUGUGGGCGCCUCAGGUCUCCGCUGCCCCUGAACCUGGACCAAUGGCCCCAGCUAAAGCAGAGAUGGAUCUUACAGAGUCAAGGCCACCCAGACUGUUCUGCUACCUCCCCUCUGUUCCAAGUGGCUCUCUGUCCUCAUCUCCCUCAUUUCCAUCUCAGGAGAGCAGAAGGAGAGCCUGGGCCAGGCCUUCUACAAAAUGUGAAUCAUGUCCCUUCAGAGGGAUGGACGCCAGGGUCCACCCAGAACCCAACUUCUAGGAACUCUCCUGAAGCAAGCACCUCACAUGCAGGUAUCUACAUCCUCCGGAUGCUUCCAGAGAACAGAGAGGAGCUGAGCGUUUCUAUCUCGGGCCGAUCAUCCCGGCCACUUGCUGAGUGCGGCAAUGCCCCUCUGUGCCUACCCCUAUCAUCCACCUGCAGUAGUGUCUGUACCCACUGUGUGUCCAAAGCAUGCGAGUGACCUCUGCGAGCAAGGCUUCCCGGAGAGGAAGCAGACUUGACAGCUGGGAAAGUAAGGCUUAAAGUUUGCCCGAGUGGUACGCCAGGGAUCCCUCACAAGAUGUCUGACCGAGAGUCUCACUGCUAUCACGCUUUCUCUCCACGGAGUGGAAGGACCUAGGGCCCGUCACAGGAGCAUCCCUGCAGCCCAUGUUCACGCACAGGCUCCGCACUCCGGGUCCAGGGGAUGUGGACGCCAGUGCUUGAGGCUGGCGCCUUUAGGGACAAGAGGAGGACGUCCCUGGAAAUGGGAAGCACGAAGCCUUUCCGGGUAGGGAACAGUCUGUUUGGAGGCCCAGAGGUGGGAAGGCUCUGAGAGACAACUGAGGAGCCUGAAGGCGACAGGCAUGAUUGAAGGAGAGGAGGCAGGGCUGUGUGCAGGAGGAGGGCAAGCUUGCAGCUGCUGACAGCUGAGGAGAUGAGACCAGAGCUAAUGGGCCAUCAGGAGCCUCCCAGCAGAGUAACGGCAGAUUCAGAUGUCUUCGCGUGGGACUGAGGCCAGCAUCUCAGGCCCUACCUACACUUCCUCAGUGUCUCAACACAGUCACUCAGAGCUGAGGGGACAUGGGGGUGGACAAAGUAAUCCAACAGCGACCUGCAAGAAGCGGAGGACCUCCCUCUCCAUCCUGCUUGGUGCCACCAACACAAAGUGAAGCCUAGAAAGUUGCUGUGCCCAAGAUUUCCUUCUCUUGGGACCAGUCCCCAGCCUGACCGCACCUCUGCCUCCUGCCUUGCUCUCUCCCUCCUCCCUCCGCCCGACCUCUCUCCAGGUGAUGGACGCCUCUUGCUCUCACCAUCCAGGUCCUAGAACCUUCGAGCCUUCGGAAGCAGCGGAUGCACUCAACCCACACAGCCCGUGUCCCCCUGCUGCUCAAGACCCUCCCUGGUUAGCCUCUCACUCUGGAACAUUCCAUGACCUCUCCAGCUGCAUCUCCUCCACCACGUGAGUGACCACAGCCAGCCACACUGGCCUUCUUCCUGGCUGGGCCUUGGUACCUGCUACCUUCUUUCCCUUGCCUGGGAAAAUGUUCCCAGUCCGCUUCAAUGCCCGAGCCCUUUACAGAGACCUCGCGGAACACCCCCUGACAUAGCUUGUCAUUCACCCCUACCUUCCUCUAUCUUCCUUCACCUUGCCGGUUUUCCCACCAGGAAAAGCUUUACACAAACAAGGGCUGUUCUGUUCACCGUGGAUUCCCAGCACCCGAGGACAGCGCAGUCACAAAUAGAGCACACAUGUGGCAGGCGCUUGAUCCAUCGGAUGCGUGGCUGAGAAGCCCACUCUUGCCCUUGGAAGCGCUGGGUCCUUCCUGAGGACCCCCAGAGUCUCUGCACCAGUGCCGUCAGAGGACUGUCCGUCACUCACAUCAUUCAACAUUUAUUCCGCGUGUGUCACGAAUGCAGCUAGGGAACUGUGUGUCAACAAUCCGGCUGACACUGCUAGGGUCUGGGGCCAGAGCCUCAGAGAAAGGAAGGGAUUUGGAUGUCUCCAUCUUAUUUACUGAGAACCCGCCAUGAACACACAGAAUCUCACAUCUGCCGCCCACUCAAUCCUCACAAGUGGCGCCACUGUCGACGUCCCACUUAACAAAUCUACUCUGCACCGCUUGCUGCACCCGAACAUCCCCAGGGUGGAGGGCUGAGGCGGCUGCAGCAGGUAGGAGCUCAAUGCAGGGCAGUUCAGACCCCCUCUCUAGAGUUUCCCUCCUGAGGAAGCUGCAGACAAAUGGACAGCAUUGGCUGCAUUUCCGCAGGUAAGGAACCCCAACCACUUCGGCUCACAGGGCUGAGAGGUGAGACAGGAUGCAAGCCCAGGUAGGGUCUUCUAGGCUGAAACCCUGACACCAUGCAGACUUUCCUGAUCCUCAGAGGAACACCCAUCUCUGGGUCUCACGACAUCCCAGCGUAGAUAACCUGUCACCUCACUCGAUUUUCCUCCCUCACAAACUUAAUCCAGCUUGGUGUGGUUAGUCACGGGAUUGUGGACCUCGGUGCUGCAAAGGGUUUAAAAGAUGACUCUGCAGAUCUGGGAACUGAGGCCCUCUCCCAGCUGAGCUGUAUUCCCAGUCUAGGUCCAGGCUGGCCUUGAUCUGACUGUGGACCCCCAGCUGGCUUGAACUCAUUGGCUAUCCUCCUGCCUCAACCUCAUGAGUGCUGGGAUUUUAGGUUUGGAUCAUUUUGCCUCCGCUCCUUCUAGGAAGGAUGGUUGCCAUAACUUCCAUCUCGUUAACGCACAUUUGUACCAUUUCUGACCCCACAAUGAGCUCCAUGUCCUCAGCCCUGCCAACAGGCCCCACACCAGCUAGCUUGGAUGCCCUGGCCUUCCCAGGUUUCUGACUCCCCCUCUUCCGGAUUAGCCUGGACUCCACGGUCUGACCCAGUGUGUCUCUCAGUAGACCUUUCUUUAGGCUCCAGCUUUGUGUGAGUGGGGGGAGGGGAGAACCUUACCUUGAUUCCACAGCCUGGCUUUGGCCCUCCCUCUUUUGUGGCUGGGUCUAAAUUUUCCGUCCUUCUCCUCCCUCCCAACUCCUUUGCAGUACUGGUGCUGGAAGCUAGGGCCUUGCCCCUGCCAGCAAACACUCUGCCACUGAGCUACACCCCCAGCUCCUAAUUCCAUUUGAAAACAGCCCCCUCCCUGGUGUGGCAGGCUGGCCGGCUUUGGGGCUAGCAGGACUCCCUGCUCCAGGGAAGACCAUCGCCCCUUGUUUGAGCAUCUUAGGAAACGGAAGACUGACUCCUCACAUUUGUUCUCGAGCUCAAAAGCAAACUCACCCCCUCCCUGUACGGCCAGCCUCCCACCAGCAAGCACGAAGGCUUCCUGACUGGCACACUCGAGCUGGGAGGAGCAGGGAGACACAGCCUCCUGGCCAGUUCCAUUCCUGGAGCUCCUUCAUCUCCCCUAACUGGCUCCAGAGACCCUGGUACUCCCUCCCCCAGACACCUAAAGAUGGGUGUUGGGGGGCCGUCGCUACCCCACAGCCCUGAUGCUCUGUCAACCCUGCAUCCUAGCCUCUCUCCCAGCUUGUCAUGGGGAAGCCUGCGAAGCCACCAAGGAUGAAAUAAAUACCCUUUUCCUUCCUUAA